ACGGCAAAAAACGCGUUAUAUAAUUUAAUUUCAUUUUUGAAAAAUUGGUAGCUUAAAGAUUCAGGAAAAAGAGAUCUCUCCACCGUCGACGACGUAGGAUUUAUCAAAGAUCCAGAGAGGGAUGACAGCAAUCUCAAGAAACAGAUCGUUGGGUUCGCGUUUCCUAUUAUUAUUGUUCUCUUCAAUUUCUCUGCAAUUCAUUUCAGGCAUUUCUGGUGACCCCAAAAAUGACACAAAGGUCAAUGCCCAGGCUUCUAGUGGUGGCAAUACUGGGAGCAAGAUUGUCAUCAUACUUCUUGUGGUUGUGGCAGUAGGGUUGUUUUCAUUUUUCCUUUUCAAAUUUUGGCAAAAGAAGAAAAGAGAAGAGCAGUAUGCUCGUCUUUUGAAGUUGUUUGAAGAGGACGAUGAGCUUGAGGUUGAACUUGGGCUGCGAGAUUGAUGCUUUAAUCAUUGAAAAUUACAUUUUUUUUUGAGGCCAAAAUGGAAUUAUUUCAAGGAAAACUUCUUCCACUGAGGGCCAUGAUUGGAGAUGUGCAGAUGCCCUGCUUUUGAGGUUAGAUGUAUUUCAAUUAUACAGUGUAAUAUCUGUAACCCAUUGUUCAAAUUAGAACUUGUAGUGAAUAUGAACUCUUUUGAGUUUUAGAGAGGAGAAGGAACUAUUUUGUAUAAGGUGUAUGAAGGUCUCAUUUUCUGGUUGUAAAAAAUGAAUUCUUCAUUCUGAUAGAUAAUUCAAGUUGUACAAGAAUUAAGAGUUUUGGCUGAGUGUUGAUAGCAUAUGCUUCUUAUUAGUGGACAGACAAGAUGAAAGCAA